AGCCCAUGUAGCUCAGUCGGUAGAGCGCGUCCUUGGUAAGGACGAGGUCACCAGUUCAAUCCUGGUCGUGGGCUCCAU
rnacentral:tRNA from 1 species